UCAUUCUUCUUGGUAACUUGCUUUAAUUAGGUUUUGAAGCAAGGGAAUAGGCUCAUCCAAGCUUAAAAAUUAGAUUGUAAGCCAAGGAUUGACUUGAGAUAGGUUGUGGUUGGUAAUCCGAUAUAAAACUAAAUAGAUUUUGGAUAGUAAGUCUGAAAAACUAUCCGACUGUAAUUUUAGAUAGAUUAUAAUAAAAUUCUCAAGU
rnacentral:lncRNA from 1 species